GCGGCUCUUUGGCCAGCGUCUUUGAAAACCAGUACCUUGACUUGUUGGGGGUCGGUGGUUCGAAUCCACUAGACCGCACCA
rnacentral:tRNA from 1 species